rnacentral:rRNA from 1 species
UACGGGGGGGGCAAGCGUUGUUCGGAAUUACUGGGCGUAAAGGGUUCGUAGGUGGCUUGCUCAGUCAGACGUGAAAUCCCUCAGCUUAACUGGGGAACUGCGUCUGAUACUGGCGAGCUUGAGUGCAGGAGAGGAGCGCGGAAUUCCAGGUGUAGCGGUGAAAUGCGUAGAUAUCUGGAGGAACACCGGUGGCGAAGGCAGCGUUCUGGACUGCAACUGACACUGAGGAACGAAAGCCAGGGGAGCAAACGGG